UACGUAGGGGGCAAGCGUUGUCCGGAAUUAUUGGGCGUAAAGAGCGCGUAGGCGGUCCGAUAAGUCGGCUGUGAAAGUCCAGGGCUCAACCCUGGAAAGCCGGCCGAUACUGUCGGACUAGAGUUCGGAAGAGGCGAGUGGAAUUCCCGGUGUAGCGGUGAAAUGCGCAGAUAUCGGGAGGAACACCAAUUGCGAAGGCAGCUCGCUGGGACGAUACUGACGCUGAGGCGCGAAAGCGUGGGGAGCAAACGGG
rnacentral:rRNA from 1 species